rnacentral:SRP_RNA from 1 species
UUAAAGGGUCUCCUGAUUCGAUUUGGAUUCGGAGAUUCGGCCACUGAAUCAGGUUGAAACUCUGCUGAAUUGAAUCAGCGACCGAAGUUUCGCGCAGCCCUAGUGUGCGCUAAGUUUGGCAUCAAUAUGGCUGGGGGUCACCAGGUUGCCUAAGGAGGGGUGAACCAGCCCAGGUCGGAGACAGAGCAGGUCAAAACUCCCAUGCCGAUCAGUAGUGGGACCGCACCUGUGAAUAGCCCCUGCCGCCUAGCCUGGGCAACACAGUGGAAGGGUGUCCCUU